UUAGGGUUUGAAGUGAACAUAGUGGCUAUUGGACUUAUCGUGAAACUCAGAGCUCUCUCCUUCGCGAAUGAAGCGGCGACGGCGGUGUCAAGCUCUCCGAUCAACAUUUCACCGCCGCUAGCAAAAAUCGGCCAAAACCAACACUCCUCCUCACAUCUCUUGUUUCUUAUUACUUCAAAUUCGUUCUCGAUUCAAGUUAUCCCUAAGUUCUACAUUGAUCGAGAACGGUAUGGUCUACGAAGAACGACGAAGGUUCAGAAGCGUACCUGGAUUGAAGACCGUGAAUGCGAAGUAAACGCGAAGACAACGGAGUAAUCUUUCCGGUUUGGAAGUGUGUAUGCCCAAGCUGUAAGGUGCUGAUUGAAUGUGGAUACAGGCUUGAUUGGUUUUGGAAGGUGCAGUGAUGCAGGGCAUGGUUGGUUUAAGAGGUCUCGGUUUUGAUUCGACGCAAUGCUUCGAUACUCCUGAAGCUUGUAUCUGCAAGUGAAUGGCUGAUUAUGCUGGACUUUGUAUUGAAUUUGUGGAAUUGUGGGUUUGAAGUGGAAUAUUGUUUGAAAUCAUUUGGCAGGUUCGGUUUCGGCACGUUUUGGUUUGGAGGAUCCUCUUUGAAGUGUUAUGAUGUUGAUGUAUAUACUGAGUUGUUGCAGGACCGUAAUUAAGGAAUUAGUUUAAUGGUUGCGGUUAGUGGAAAGUGAAACUUAGGUUAGAGAUAAUAAGGAAAGGUUAGUGAAAAAUGUGUAACAGGAAUUCUGCUAGUUAUUAGUCAUGGAAUCAGUCAGCUUGAACUUGGCUUAUGUAUGGCUUAAACUCGAAUGAAUAUGUGGACUUGGUAUUGAUGUAUUUGUAGUGAUGAUGAUUUCAAGAGGUCUGUAGUAGUUUGUCUUUCUGCUUUUUGUAAUGAGAUUUUUGGUAUUGACUGUUUGUAAUGGAUUGUAAUGAAUGCUGGAUUUUUGUAAUAA